AUGAUAAAUGAGAUGAAACAAUUAUUUUGAUGGAGUUUAUAAAAUAUUAGCAUCUAUUAUAUUCUUUUUUCUUUAACUGUCAAUUUUUUUGACGUAUCUCAUAUAUUAUAGUAUUACAAUGAAGUGCUCUAAUUUAUCUGUUAAAAAAGGUUUCAUCACUGUUUCCUGUAGUAAUUCUCAAUAAAGUUUUAAAUAGGAUAUAUUAAAUAGGAUAUAUUAUCUAAAGUAAUCAGGCUUUUAAGCCUUCAAUUUGCCCCAAUUGACAUGAAGUGCGCAUUUCGAAAAGCCAGUGAACGCAGCGUCAUACGGGCACCCCCACCCCACUCCCCCGAAAACCCCCGGAUGAACCCGCAGGAAGGCGCGCGGCUGAAGAACUUCUUGGACAGCUGGAAGGUGGGCGAUGCUUUGAACUUUUCUCUGUAGAAAUGUAAUGUUUAGAUUUGGGAAACCAGAGAUGGGUUUUUAGUAAAAACGUGUUGGCUGUUUAGGAUUAACGUUGAAUGACGAGGCGUUUUUCCAUCUUAAAUUUAAAAGGCCGCAGCAUCACGGUGAAGGCCUCUUCUGUAUAGAGGACGUGGGCGGAAACGUCACGUGGUCUCCGCAGAGACGGGUCAGUUAUUUGGAGACAACAUGCACAAAUAGUUCCUGGACUGAUUUUCUGCUAACUUUGAGAUGGAGAGGCUGUCAGGUUCAUCUGUUUCAGUGUCCUGCAUGCUCUCCCUCCAUGUUUGCCGUAGCAGUGGAUGGAACUUGCAAAAUGUACUGUUUUGAGAGCCAACUGGGGCUCAGUGGUUAUUUUGAAGAUGCGUUUCUGACCAAAAACACUGUGGAGACCUCCUUUGUGAACUGCAUUCAUGGGGCAAUAGAACAUAAUCCUGGAGAUGUGGAGCAGGAAAGUUUGUGGCAGCACCAGAGUCCUCCAAAAAGUCUUCUGGCAAAGUAAAUGAGGAAGGAUCGCAGUCUGCCAUCGUGGAGUUUUGCUGAAAGGACUGAACACGUUCCAUCCAUGCAUCCAUCUUCUUCCAUUCAUCCAGAACCAGGUUGUGAGGGCAGCAGUCUAAGCAAAGAUGCCCACACUUCCCUCUCCUCCAGCUCCUCUUGGGGGACCCCGGGGCCAGCUGAGAGACGUAGUCUCCCCAGCGUGUCCUGGGUCUUCCUUAGGGCCUCUGCCCAGUGAGACAUGCAUGGAACCCCCCCCCAGGGAGGCGUCCUCCUCUGGAUGUAGAGUGGAAGCGGCUCCACUCAGAGCUCUCUCCAGGUGAGCGAGCUUCCUGAACCUGUUCCGUUGAGAUAUUUUCAUGAACCCCUUCUAUUUGCAGAAACGGCUUUCUCCACAGACCUUGCAGUUCUUCUGCUCUGAUGUAGUCUACGAGUUCUGAUUGCAUUUGGAGAAGGUUGGUUUUCCGUGUCCUGAGAGGCAGGACCUGUUGAACAUGUGUCCUUUUCAAGUUCACUCUUGGAUGUGUGAGUUUGCAAACAUACAUUUUGGUUGAAAUGAUGAGGAUCCGAGGAUGAAAUCAAGAAGGGACAACUUCAGGGAAAGGGACUGAACCGACUGAACAGCUUCCUCUCUUCAGCAGACACAUCUUCCGAGUACAUAUGUGUCAAAAACUGACAUCCUCGCCGUUCAGGCCGGUGGCUGGAACAAGCGGAAGUCAGAAAAGCUGGAGCAGACGUUACCAGAAUGAUACCUCCAGGACCAAUCAAAAUGACCCAGAGAAAAAUACUGAAGGGCUUUGUCUGAGCAUCAGGAAAACAAGAAUCAGCAUAUGGUUAUGGUGCCAUGGUAAAGAACUAAAGGCUCUAGGAUGUCAUGCUGCUGACCAGACUGUGGUUGGUGAAGUCCAGCAGCAGUGCGGGUCCUUGAAGUGUGGUUGAAGAGCUCUCCUCCCAGCUUUUGGAAGGUUCUGCCCCGCAAAGCCAGGAGGUUUCUCUUUGUGAUCUGCAUGGAUGUCCAGGGCUUGUGGCAUUUAUGUGUUUUCCUCUUCAUUUCAUUCUCAGGCAGCACAGAGGCCUUGAUGGAGAGAGAACAUGAGGGACUAAUUGUCUGCUGAGGAGGAGACUUUCUGCAGUUCAAGCCCCAGCUCCACCCCUAAAAAAGGCUUAUAAGAAGGAAAACCUCAUUUCAACUUUGUACCAAUAAAUAAAUGACUUUUAAUUGAAA